AUUACUCUUCUUUUUUGUAAGGUUUAGCUGAUUUGCUUCACUUUCUUACCUUUUUUUUUUUUACACUUAUAAUAAACUUAGGAAAUCAGUAUUUGCUCAGGCUAUGAGCAAACCACAAACAUUACCAACUGAAAUAUACAGAAACUAGUUGACACAACAUAACCUGUGGUAAAAAAAUGGGUUAGCUGAUUUAACUAGAAAAAAAGCAGAAAAAAUAGAGACCACUCUAUUUGAAAAGUACAACAAUCCAAAGUUAUGUACUUAAAAUCCAACCAAAGAAAUGAAAAAAAAGGCAAACAUAAUGGGGGGGGGGGUCACUUUAUCACAUUGUCAAUGUUUGGGACUGUGAUAGAAGUUAGAAAAAAAUUAAUAAAAUUUGUACUAAUUAAAAAUAUAUAUAAAAAAAGUUUUUUUUAAACAUUGUGUUUAUUUUUUAGAUGGCCACCAUCUCCAUAGAGACCCAAAAGACUAGACUAGACAUGCCUAAAGCCUAUCUUCUUAACUAUAAAGUUAUAUAAAAAAAUUGAAAUUUCACAGUACAUCCCCCUUAUGUAAAAUAGGCAUAUUGAUCAUUUUCUUAUAAAAUUGAUUUAAUUUUAGCUCUUUAAGGCAUUCUGCUAAAAAUUAUCUUAAUUGAUUUAUUAAACUUAGAGGAUUUGAAUUUUGCUGAUGAUAUUUAGCUUCUAUUUCAUUUUUAAAAAUGUCAGUCUAAAAUUGGGCUAGCAGGCUACUAAACCAGAUUAUGAUAAUAAAAUGCCUAGUAGACAAUCUAUUACUUUGGAUGGAUGUCUGUUACAGUCUGUCAACAACCUGAGUUGUAUUAUGAAUGAAAAAAUGCUGAUGUCAAAGCAAUGGAUUGUCAGACUUCUGCUAGAUGUUGAUCUUUUCAUCACAACACCAAUAACUUCUUCUUGGAGUCAAGUAACAGUGUAUAUCACCUGAAAAAGCUAUUUAAAUUCCCUUAAAGAUCACAAAUUAAUGCUGAUGACAUAAAGCACAUUUAUCCACGAAAUCUUAUGAACACAUAAUAUUAUGUUGUACAACUAAAUAGUGGUGUCUGGAAAUUUAGGCAGUGUGUAUGUAGUGUAUAUGCUUAUUUAUUAUUUAUCUGUUUCUUAAACAUAGGCUUAUGUUCCCCGCGCUACCCAAACUAUAAUUCGGAGUGUGAAACAUAACAGAUUAACAGGUGCUAUAUUAUGUUUCGUUUAACAAAGAUUUUCUUACACUCUACAUAUUCCUCCCCCCCCCCGAGAGGUGGGCCAGGGGUAGUGGUAAGUAUUAUAAUCACGGACUGAGAAGACCUAACGGCGAGCGAGAAAGGGGUUACGUCGUCACUAGAUCUGUGUCAGCUCAAUACAAUUUUUUCUCUUCGUGGUGUAGUCUUAAUCAUAAACAGAUAAAAAUUAAAGUUUUAAGAUACUGUUAAUCUUCUAUAAUAAAAUGCUUAUUUCUUAUAGUAAUACGUUUCCCGUACUAGAUCUUUAUAAUUUAUUGUCAUUGCUCUAUAUAGUAUAGAUCACUUACUCACAAUGCAUACUUUUGUUGAAAAGAAAAAUAAUUAAACAUAUCGUGUAGAUAUAGAUGCGUGUUUCAUUAUGUUCGUGUAUAUUUUUGUUUUAUUUUAUCAAUAUUUCGCUUUGCUUGGUGACUUAAUAGAUAAAAAUAAAUCUAAUUGUUAAUA